UACGAGAGGUCCAAACGUUAUUCGGAAUCACUGGGCUUACAGAGUUCGUAGGCGGCUCUACAAGUGAGGUGUGAAAGCCCUCGGCUCAACCGAGGAACUGCGCUUCAAACUGUAAGCUAGAGGAAGAUAGAGGUGAGCGGAACUGAUGGUGGAGCGGUGAAAUGCGUUGAUAUCAUCAGGAACACCGGAGGCGAAGGCGGCUCACUGGGUCUUUUCUGACGCUGAGGAACGAAAGCUAGGGGAGCAAACGGG
rnacentral:rRNA from 1 species